GCAAUCAUCACCGGUCAUAAUGUUUGAAUCAAUAAUGUUGAUCUCCUCCGACCGUCCAAUGUGAAUUCCAUCCGUGUUGGGACUAUGCCCCGGCGCUUUCACCGAAAAUCGCUGGAAGGUAAGGUUUUUGCUGCCGAGGAGAUUGACGUGGAACUGCUUGCUAUCUAUGGAUGUCACGUCCUCGACUAUGCUGUUAGUGACGAAGUCAAACCUUAGGUUCUGAUACAGUUUUGAUAGAACAGUUACGCAGAGAAAACGUAGUUAGUAUUACUGCCAUGAACGGGCCUAUGAAUGACCGUUAGUAAAGUAGCGUUUGGAUUUUCUUACAACUGGAAGUGCUUUCUUGCAUCCGCCGCCACAGCUCUUCCGCUGCCAAGCAAUUUCUCCUUGUCCGUCGAAGGCCCCACCACUGGAUACCGUUAAUCGGUCCAUGUAUCUCAAUGUAACCCAGCUAUUCUUGCGGUGCUAGCUAGCUUUUGCUGGCGCCACCAACGUUCCUUCCACUUGAAGAUGCAUGGCACCCUUGCAAGGGCCUAGCAAAUCCACCACGCCUAACGAGUACUUCCCUUUUGGUAUCACGACUUUGCCGGAACCCACUGCUCCACAAGCCCCCUUCCACGCACUCAGUAAAGCCUAAAAACGAAAACGGCAAUGAAAGACCUGACAGCAAUAAUCUAGGAAAUACAGUCGCGAUAUCGAGAACCGAGUUUACUUUCAUACCUUAGUGAUAUCCGACCCCUCCUUCACACCAUAUUUUGUGACAUCAAAGGUAUUGGGCUGAGCUCCGCUGGUAAAGGCAAACAGUAACACCAAAUAUGCUGCGCACACAUGUACCUUGGAACCCAUAUCUCUCUUUUCAAGGCGCUUCGUCUCUUUCGAUAUCUACAGCCUAUAUUGAUUUCUAAAUGUUUGUGCAUUUCUCCUCCUCUGUAAGGCCUUUUAUAUUUCAGGCGGCUCGUUUAAUUUACUCAAGGUUUAUUACAGGCUGUAGCAUUUUCAUACAUCCCGUUUUCUGUUUUUCCUUUUUGUUUUGCGUUAAAUGUUUUGAGCUUAAAAAAAAAAGCCUACGUACGCUAACCUGCAACUAAAAACUACAACUUCCGCAUUUCUCUCUAACAUAUUCUUUUAUAUUGGAACCCUUUAUAACUUAUGCAACAAUCUCUUCGUUCUCCCACAAUAUUCUGGACGUAUUGGACGCGAAACGAGCCCGGAGACCGCACCCGCAAUUCAUUUCCUCACGCGUGCAUGUAGAACAAAAUUUUGACAAGUACAGUGCAACAUGAAAAGAGGAAAACAGAAAAAUAAAAAAAGAACUAACAGGCCGUUAUUCCGUCUUUUCUCCUUUGGUACCUGAAGGCGCAUCGUAUUAUUUUACGUGUACUUGAUUUUAGCGUCGAAAAUAUGCUCAGCUUCGAUUUUAAUUAUUUAUUUAUAAUGGAACGCAAAUAUAAAAAAGAAAAAAAAAGAAAAGGAAAAGAAAGAAAGAAAUUCACAAUAAUAAGAACAUCUUAAUAUGAGACUUCAUCUCUUCACAAUGGGAUAUAUGUAUAUAUAUUUCUCCUUUUUUCCGAAACAAAUAAAUACUUCUUGAAUAAAUGAAUAAAGAAUUGAAAAAAGAAUCAGCACAGUUACAUAGCCGAUCACGGAUAAAUGGUUUAUUAGGAAAAUAAAUUAUGCUAGAAAAGCGAAAGGAUAAAUAUUUAGAACAACCUGAUAUAUAUUUUUGAACAGCAUUAUUUUAAUUGAAAAGGAAAAUGAAUUUUGAAUUAUAAUGCUAAGCCUAUGACUACAGGAAAAUAAAUUUUAUUAUAUCAAAUUUAUUAAUUUCAAAUUAUAGCGUUUCAAUUAAAAAUAUCAUCUUGAACUUUGAUAUAGUUGAAUUUUAACACCGCAACAUAAUUUACAGCGCGUUUUAAUUUUGAAUUUUGACACUAUUAAAUUACUAAGUUCAUUCAAUAAUAUAUCUUUUAUUAUUUCAUCUUGCAUUCCAAGUUUUAUAUGUUGAUUAACUUUUCAAAUAGAAAUAGAGGACUUAAAGAAGUAUUUAUAUAGUAUUUAAUAUCAAUUGAUUUUCUUUUAAUAUAUCUUUUAAUAUCAAUUGAUAUAUUCAGUAAUUGGUGAGCUUUUAUAUUUGUUUAAGUAAAAUGAAGCACAUUGUUUAAUAGGUAAAUUUUUUAAAUUGAUUUUCUAUUUUGGAUAGAGCUAAAUUGAAAUCAUAUCUGACUAUGUUCAUUUAAAUUUAAAAAGUGUAAUGAUAGUCUUGUAAAAUUACUAUACUGUGCGUCAGACAAAUGAGAAACAUUCUCCGUUUAAAUUAAGAAUCAAAAGUGAGUGCAUUAACAUCCUCUCGGAAUCAACUUUCCUAUAAUCUUAGGCUUAACAUUUGUACAAAUAGAUUUUGCAGGACCCUUAGAUCCGGUGUACUGGAGGUUAACGUUAGAAAGUUCAACGUUCAUGCAUGGUACGCUGCUGCUGCAUGUCAAUUGAACGGCUGUGGGCGUUCUUGACGAUCCUCGAAUAUUCUUGAAAAUGACGUCGCUUAUUUUAACUUUUGAUGGCAUCUGCAAAAAGUCGCAAUAUUUUAGCAUAAUUGUAACACACCCAUAUAUAUAAAUUCUCCUUCUUGUUAUGAAAAAAUAAAAAUUGAGAAGUUACCUUGCGAUUGCAUUCGUUAUGCGGGCAGUACAUUUGAUCUAUAAUGAUGGGAUUGCUGACGUUUUGCAUGACGAUAUCCUCGAACUGGAUAUUCGACACACUGCCACCAUGCAAUGCGGGCCAAGUCUUAAUUCUCACGCCAUUGUCGGUGUCGUAUAUUGUGCAAUUCUUCACAUAAAUUCCAGACACAGGUUCUUCCUUCUCGUACUUUCCUAAACUUCCAAUACUAAUGCCAUGCCCGUGUCCGCACCUUACGUUUGUGAUUCGUACUCGCCUGCUCCCCCGGCCAAUGGAGAUGCAAUCAUCACCGGUGAUAAUGUUUGAAUUAAUAAUGUUGAUCUCCUCCGACCGUUUAAUGUGAAUUCCAUCCGUGUUGGGACUAUGCCCCGGCGCUUUCACCGAAAAUCGCUGGAACGUAAGGUUUUUGCUGCCGAGGAGAUUGACGUGGAACUGCUUGCUAUCUAUGGAUGUCACGUCCUCGACUAUGCUGUUGGUGACG
rnacentral:lncRNA from 1 species